rnacentral:rRNA from 1 species
AAGUCGUAACAAGGUUUCCGUAGGUGAACCUGCGGAAGGAUCAUUAGUGAAUUUCGACGCGAGUCGAUACACUUUCGGCUGCGCGCCUUCGGGCCGCACGCCGUCCACACACCUGUGCACACUUCGGUGGGAGGUGACUCCCGCUGUAUUUUACACACUUUUAAAAGUCUUGAAUGUAACACAUUUAUAACAAAUACAACUUUCAGCAACGGAUCUCUUGGCUCUCGCAUCGAUGAGGAACGCAGCGAAAUGCGAUAAGUAAUGUGAAUUGCAGAAUUCAGUGAAUCAUCGAAUCUUUGAACGCACCUUGCGCCCCACGGCUUUCCGUGGGGCACGCCCGUUCGAGUGUCACGUUAACUCUCGUGCUUGGUCUAACCCACCUCGUCACGGAUUUGGACGUUGCCGGCGCGAGUCGGCUCGUCUCGAAAUGCAUUAGCUAGAGUGCACGUCACGUGCGGCGUUGAUAAUUGUCUACGUCCUGCGAGUCGAGCGCCCUGCUCCCAAUCGCCCUCACGGGCAACAUUUCAAAGUUUGACCUCGAAUCGGGUGGGACUACCCGCUGAACUUAAGCAUAUCAAUAAGCGGAGGAAAAGAAACUAACAAGGAUUCCCCUAGUAACGGCGAGUGAAGCGGGAAAAGCUCAAAUUUGAAAUCUGGUCGUCCACGGCGGCCCGAGUUGUAGUCUAGAGAGGCGUUAUCCGCGGCGGACCACGUACAAGUCCUUUGGGAUGAGGCGUCAUAGAGGGUGAGAAUCCCGUCCAUGACGUGGACUACCGUCGCUUUGCGUUGCGCCUUCAAAGAGUCGAGUUGUUUGGGAAUGCAGCUCAAAAUGGGUGGUAAAUUCCAUCUAAAGCUAAAUACAGGCGAGAGACCGAUAGCGAACAAGUACCGUGAGGGAAAGAUGAAAAGAACUUUGGAAAGAGAGUUAAACAGUACGUGAAAUUGCUGAAAGGGAAACGCUUGAAGUCAGUCGCUUCGGCCGGGACUCAGUCGGGCUUUUGCCCGGCGUACUUCCCGUGUCGAGGGGCCAGCGUCAGUUUUCGGCGUCGAAGAAGGGUCGAGGGAAUGUGGCACCUUCGGGUGUGUUAUAGCCCUCGAUCGGACGCGGCGCCGGGGACUGAGGAACGCUUUAACAGGAUGCUGGCGUAAUGGCUUUAAGCGACC